UGUUGACCCUUCUACCUUUCUGAAGCUCCUUCUGAAAGAGCAGUUGGUGUUUAUUUUUUACUAAAUAGCAAUUGCUCUUUUGGAAGGAACUUGAGAAGACAUUACUCCUUUUAGGG
rnacentral:precursor_RNA from 1 species